rnacentral:rRNA from 1 species
UACAGAGGUCUCAAGCGUUGUUCGGAUUCAUUGGGCGUAAAGGGUGCGUAGGCGGCGCGGUAAGUUUGGUGUGAAAUCUCCCGGCUCAACUGGGAGGGUGCGCCGAAUACUGAGAAGCUAGAGUGUGGGAGAGGAAAGUGGAAUUCCUGGUGUAGCGGUGAAAUGCGUAGAUAUCAGGAGGAACACCGGUGGUGUAAACGGCUUUCUGGACCAUAACUGACGCUGAGGCACGAAAGCGUGGGUAGCAAACAGG